CCCGCUGAACUUAAGCAUAUCAAUAAGCGGAGGAAAAGAAAAUAACAAUGAUUCCCCUAGUAACGGCGAGUGAAGAGGGAAAAGCUCAAAGUUGGAACCUGGUGGGCAUAGCUCACCCGGAUUGUAAACUAAAGUUUUUGAGUCGUUUAGUCAGCCAGGUAAAUAAGUCCUCUGGAAAGGGGCGACAUAGAGGGUGAAAUCCCCGUCUUUGGCCUGAGUUUUGGUUAGGCGUUUGGCUUGGAAACGAAGAGUCAGGUUGUUUGGGAAUGCAGCCUAAAAUGGGAGGUAAAUCUCUCCUAAAGCUAAAUAUUGACGAAAGACCGAUAGCGAACAAGUACCGUGAGGGAAAGAUGAAAAGCACUUUGAAAAGAGGGUCAAAAAGUACGUGAAAUUGCUGAAAGGGAACCGUAUGAAAUCAGACCUACUGGUAGGUAAUCAAUCUUUCCCUUGGGAAGGAUGCACUUGCCUGCUAUGUAUGCCAGCGACAUUUUGGUUGGGAGGAAAAAAAUAGAAGGAAUGUAGCCUAGGCUUCGGUUUAGGUGUUAUAGACUUUUAUAAAAUACUCUCGGCUGGAAUGAGGAACGCAGCAAACCGUAAGGCGAAGAUUCUAGUCGCUUGGGGGGAAUAAUUAGAGAAUUUCUGCUUCGGGUGGUGCUUUGAUUAUUACUUUCAACUCGGUUGGAGUUCUUUUAAUUUGCUUAGGUUGUUGGCUUAAUGAUUUUAUAUGACCCGUCUUGAAACACGG
rnacentral:rRNA from 1 species